AAUUUCUCAAGCUUGGAUGGCUUUUUUGUCCGUCCUUAGCCUUGGUUGUUGGGCUUUGCCGUGUCCUUCAUUGGGUACGGCUGGCCUUAAAAGCAUUAGCUGAUCCUCAUAUGGCACUGGUUCUACUCAGCGUGAUAAUAGUCUGAUCGCUGAGGACAUCUCUUGGGAUGGCCAGUUCUCAUUUGGGGGAUCGCUUCUAAACUUGGUUUAACAGAUUGUUCAAUCUGUUUCCACUUUUCAG
rnacentral:misc_RNA from 1 species